UCGGGUGAGAUGAACAUUUAAAUUGGUGAACUUUGAGAGGAAAAUUAGAAGACAAGUAUCCUCAUUUCCACCUGGAUCCAGUCUUUCUUCCUUGUUACUUUUAUUAACAAUAUCAGUUAAGGUUUAUAUGGAUGUCUUGCUUUAGCCUGUACAAAAACUACUUUGUAUAUGCCUUAUUUUAUUAAUUUUGCUUUCAUCAAAUUCUCUGAUCAUAACUCUAUAUUCUUGUAAGGAAUGCUCAGAAUUAUACUAUUUCACUCCAAAUUUUAUGAUUAUUGAGAAGAAACUGGGUAUAGAAGGUUGUGGGACCAGUUUGUGAUCUAUUGCUUUAAAAUUUGGUCAAGUCACUCAAAUUCUCUAGCUGUACCUAUGAAAUAGCUUUAAUAUUUCAAUCCCCUGCAUUUUCUUUGCAUAAUAUGGAGUUUGAAUUGAAGUGGUCCUGAAUUUGAG
rnacentral:lncRNA from 10 species